AGUAAAUUUUGCAGCAUUAAUGAUUUCAUACUCCAAAAUUAGGGGACAUGUGUUGACACUGUUUUUGGGUAUGAAUUGAGAUGGUUAAGGAGAGCUCGUCGGUAGUGGGGAAGCUGCUAUGCCAGAACAACAGAAGGAUGCUGAGAACCGAUUUAAAUGAUGCUGAUGAUAGGACAAUAGUUGGUGGAAGGAUGCUGCUAGCCUAGGGAUGGAGAUGAUGGCUACUAAUUAUUGUCAAUUGAUCGCCGAUGCCGAUGCAGGGUGUUUGGUCGUCGAUGCCGAUGGAGGAAAGUGUAGAGGCUGUUAACGAUGGGGUAGGACCGAUGAAAACUUAAGACAGAGGGUGAUGAAGGCUCUGUCGUAGCUAAAGGAUACAUAGGGAUAGAUAGUGAUUAUUUCUUUUUCUGUGAUUAUUUUAGUUUACCUUAUGCGUAAGAGUCAUGUUUACUUUGUUUAGAUCUUAGUUGUAUUUGAUUGUGACUCUUGGAUCAGGGUAUAAAUAU
rnacentral:lncRNA from 1 species